rnacentral:rRNA from 1 species
AUUGAACGCUGGCGGCAGGCUUAACACAUGCAAGUCGAGCGAGCGGGGCGGGGGUGAGUGAUAUCUGGGAGACUUCCUGAUGGAGGGGGAGAACACCGGUAAACGGUACCUAUUACCGCGUACGCUCAGGUGUGCCCCGGUGGGAUUAGCUAGUAGGUGGGGUAAUGGCUCACCUAGGCGACGAUCCCUAGCUGGUCUGAGAGGAUGACCAGCCACACUGGAACUGAGACACGGUCCAGACUCCUACGGGAGGCAGCAGUGGGGAAUAUUGCACAAUGGGCGCAAGCCUGAUGCAGCCAUGCCGCGUGUGUGAAGAAGGCCUUCGGGUUGUAAAGCACUUUCAGCGAGGAGGCGUUACUCGCAGAAGAAGCACCGGCUAACUCCGUGCCAGCAGCCGCGGUAAUAC